rnacentral:lncRNA from 1 species
GUUUUAGGCAUUUCUUAUCCAGGUUGGGGCAUAGCUGGGCAAUUGACCAAGUUGAUAGAUAAAAGGCACUUUCUUGGACUACAAUUUCUAGACUCCCUCAGCCAACAUGGUCAGUGGCUAUUCUGGAUGGUGUUAAACCAAAAAGGUAUUUUUCAAGUUCUGCUAUGAAUCUGAUUCCUUACUACAAUAUGCCCUAUAACAGUGGGGAAAAACUGCAGCUAAUGGGAGAUAGGGUAGAAGUAAUGCAAUGUUGAAACAUACUGGCAGAAAAACCAUGCAACAAUGAAUAUACCUAACUUGUGCAAUAAGUAAAAAAUGUGUAUUGACAUGUAUAAUAUACAAGGAUGUUUGGAGGCAAGGUUGCCUAACAAUGGUUGUCUAAUAUGCAAAAUAGGCUGCCCAGAUCUGCAGAACUGGAAUAAAAGCAAUGUCACUCAGAUUAUACAUUUUGCUUACCAGCAGAAAACCUCGCAGCGCAUAAGCCUUUUCAGAGUUUCCAUGGUUUCAACAAGGCUUACUUCGAGCAAUCUGCCAUUGUUGGCACUUCAGCUGGUCAGAAGAACAGAACCUGGAAGAACCUGUUCAAAAAAUCACAUCAGAAAGGACAUUGCCAUGGCAACUAAAAUAUCUAAGCUCUCCAAAUUCCAAAACGUGGCUCCAAAUGCAGGAAAAGAAACCUGAAUUCUCAUUUAAUUCAGUAAUGCUCUAAUGCAGUGGUCCCCAGCCUUGGGCCUCCAGAUGUUCUUGGACUUCAAUUCCCAGAAAUCCUGGCCAGCAGAGGUGGUGGUGAAGGUUUCUGGGAGUUGUAAACAUCAAGCAUUAGAGCUUAAAGAAGAAUAUUAAAACAAUACUAAAGAAAUAAUAGAGGCAAAAUAUAAUUUUAUAAAAUUCUGAAUAAUUUAUCUCGUAGAACAUAAAUCUGCAUUAUUAGCCUCAAUUGACUAUGAUCCAGAACUGUGGACUGAAACCAAAGACCAGGAAGCAUGCAAGAAGACCACUCCUGUAGUUAAAAUGAAAUAAAAGCUUUUAUGCUAAUGAAACUCUUUAAACU